CUUACGCCGGCAGCCAUCCUUUUCCCGCGUCAGUAACCGCAAGACCUCGGUACGGGGAGGCUGCGCUAAUCUGUGUAUCGAAACUUGCCUAUAAGAAGUGAUUUAUUUUCAGUUAACUGUUGAAGACAAGUGUAGCGAGUGUCGGGGCUUGUGUCGGGAGUUCUGAGCACGGCUGUGUCAAUGGAGAUACCGUGAACACACACAGCAAGAUUUAAGAAGUAUGACAUACAGACAGACAGACAGGUGUGGAAGAAGUGCUGGCAUACUGGAGGUCAAGAGUCACGUGAUGAGUCGUACAGGUCACCAGAGAGGUCAUCCACUCAACCCCACUGCCAGUCCAGAGGCAACACAGUCAUGAAGAUUUGCCUCUGUCUGUCUGUCUGUCUGUCUGUCUGUCUGUCUGUCUGUCUGUCUGUCUGUCUGUCUGUCUGUCUGUCUGUCUGCCUGCCUGCCUGCCUCCCUGCCUGCCUCCCUGCCGGCCAAUUAAUGAUCUGUGUAGUCUGUUAUACUUGUGAAUAUUGUGUGUGUUUCUCUUCCUUUCACUUUUCAUCCUAAAAUCUGCUACUAUUAAUCUAAUCUAAUCUUUCAUUCUUCAUUCCUUCUCUUCCUUCCACUUUUCAUCCUAAAAUCUGCUACUAUUAAUCUAAUCUAAUCUUUCACUCUUCAUUCUUUCUCUUCCUUCCACUUUUCAUCCUAAAAUCUGCUACUAUUAAUCUAAUUUAAUCUUUCAUUCUUCAUUCUCUCUCUUCCUUCCACUUUUCAUCCUCAAAUCUGCUACUAAUAAUCUGGUCUAAUCUUUCAUUCUUCAUUCCUUCUCUUCUUUCCACUUUUCAUCCUCAAAUCUGCUACUAUUAAUCUAAUCUAAUCUUUCAUUCUUCAUUCCUUCUCUUCCUUCCACUUUUCAUCCUAAAAUCUGCUACUAAUAAUCUGGUUUAAUCUUUCAUUCUUCAUUCCUUCUCUUCCUUCCACUUUUCAUCCUAAAAUCUGCUACUGAUAAUCUAAUUUAAUCUUUCAUUCUUCAUUCCUUCUCUUCCUUCCACUUUUCAUCCUAAAAUCUGCUACUGAUAAUCUAAUUUAAUCUUUCAUUCUUCAUUCUCUCUCUUCCUUUCACUUUUCAUCCUAAAAUCUGCUACUGGUAAUCUAAUUUUAUCUUUCAUUCUUCAUUCCUUCUCUUCCUUCCAUUUUUCAUCCUAAAAUCUGCUACUAUUAAUCUAAUCUAAUCUUUCAUUCUUCAUUCUCUCUCUUCCUUUCACUUUUCAUCCUAAAAUCUGCUACUGAUAAUCUAAUUUAAUCUUUCAUUCUUCAUUCUCUCUCUUCCUUUCACUUUUCAUCCUAAAAUCUGCUACUGAUAAUCUAAUCUAAUCUUUCAUUCUUCAUUCUCUCUCUUCCUUCCACUUUUCAUCCUAAAAUCUGCUGCUAAUAAUCUGGUCUAAUCUUUCAUUCUUUUUUCCUUCUCUUCCUUCCACUUUUCAUCCUAAAAUCUGCUACUAAUAAUCUAAUCUAAUCUUUCAUUCUUCAUUCUCUCUCUUCCUUCCACUUUUCAUCCUAAAAUCUGCUACUAUUAAUCUAAUCUAAUCUUUCAUUCUUCAUUCCUUCUCUUCCUUCCACUUUUCAUCCUAAAACCUGCUACUGAUAAUCUAAUCUAAUCUUUCAUUCUUCUUUCCUUCUUACCAGGAUAUAUAGUCAAUCUGUACCAGGACAUGUAGUCAGAAAAAAAAAAACUAAAAACAAAAAAACAGCAGAUGACUUAUAUUAAAUAUUUCUUUCAGAUUUAAGAAGUAUGACGUACAGACAGACAGACAGGUGUGGAAGAAGUGCUGGCAUACUGGAGGUCAAGAGUCACGUGAUGAGUCGUACAGGUCACCAGAGAGGUCAUCCACUCAACCCCACUGCCAGUCCAGAGGCAACACAGUCAUGAAGAUUUGCCCCUGCCUGCCUGCCUGCCUGCCUGCCUGCCUGCCUGCCUCCCUGCCGGCCAAUUAAUGAUCUGUGUAGUCUGUUAUACUUGUGAAUAUUGUGUGUGUGUUUCUCUUCCUUUCACUUUUCAUCCUAAAAUCUGCUACUAUUAAUCUAAUCUAAUCUUUCAUUCUUCAUUCCUUCUCUUCCUUCCACUUUUCAUCCUAAAAUCUGCUACUAUUAAUCUAAUCUAAUCUUUCAUUCUUCAUUCUCUCUCUUCCUUCCACUUUUCAUCCUAAAAUCUGCUACUAUUAAUCUAAUUUAAUCUUUCAUUCUUCAUUCUCUCUCUUCCUUCCACUUUUCAUCCUAAAAUCUGCUACUAAUAAUCUUGUCUAAUCUUUCAUUCUUCAUUCCUUCUCUUCCUUCCACUUUUCAUCCUAAAAUCUGCUAAUAUUAAUCUAAUCUAAUCUUUCAUUCUUCAUUCUCUCUCUUCCUUUCACUUUUCAUCCUAAAAUCUGCUACUGAUAAUCUAAUUUUAUCUUUCAUUCUUCAUUCCUUCUCUUCCUUCCAUUUUUCAUCCUAAAAUCUGCUACUUUUAAUCUAAUCUAAUCUUUCACUCUUCAUUCUUUCUCUUCCUUCCACUUUUCAUCCUAAAAUCUGCUACUAUUAAUCUAAUCUAAUCUUUCAUUCUUCAUUCUCUCUCUUCCUUCCACUUUUCAUCCUAAAAUCUGCUACUAAUAAUCUUGUCUAAUCUUUCAUUCUUCAUUCCUUCUCUUCCUUCCACUUUUCAUCCUAAAAUCUGCUAGUAUUAAUCUAAUCUAAUCUUUCAUUCUUCAUUCUCUCUUCCUUUCACUUUUCAUCCUAAAAUCUGCUACUGAUAAUCUAAUUUAAUCUUUCAUUCUUCAUUCCUUCUCUUCCUUCCAUUUUUCAUCCUAAAAUCUGCUACUAUUAAUCUAAAUAAUUUAAUCUUUCAUUCUUCAUUCCUUCUCUUCCUUCCACUUUUCAUCCUAAAAUCUGCUAGUAUUAAUCUAAUCUAAUCUUUCAUUCUUCAUUCUCUCUUCCUUUCACUUUUCAUCCUAAAAUCUGCUACUGAUAAUCUAAUUUAAUCUUUCAUUCUUCAUUCCUUCUCUUCCUUCCACUUUUCAUCCUAAAAUCUGCUACUAAUAAUCUAAUCUAAUCUUUCAUUCUUCAUUCUCUCUCUUCCUUCCACUUUUCAUCCUAAAAUCUGCUACUAUUAAUCUAAUCUAAUCUUUCAUUCUUCAUUCCUUCUCUUCCUUCCACUUUUCAUCCUAAAAUCUGCUACUAUUAAUCUAAUCUAAUCUUUCAUUCUUCAUUCUCUCUCUUCCUUCCACUUUUCAUCCUAAAAUCUGCUACUAAUAAUCUGGUCUAAUCUUUCAUUCUUUUUUCCUUCUCAUCCUUCCACUUUUCAUCCUAAAAUCUGCUACUGAUAAUCUAAUCUAAUCUUUCAUUCUUCUUUCCUUCUUACCAGGAUAUAUAGUCAGUCUGUACCAGGACAUGUAGUCAGAAAAAAAAAAAAACAAUAAAAACAAAAAAACAGCAGAUGACUUAUAUUAAAUAUUUCUUUCAGAUUUAAGAAGUUUGACAUACAAACAGACAGACAGGUGUGGAAGAAGUGCUGGCAUACUGGAGGUCAAGAGUCACGUGAUGAGUCGUACAGGUCACCAGAGAGGUCAUCCACUCAACCCCACUGCCAGUCCAGAGGCAACACUGUCAUGAAGAUUUGCCUCUGUCUGUCUGUCUCUGUCUGUCUGUCUGUCUGUCUGUCUGUCUGUCUGUCUGUCUGUCUGUCUGUCUGUCUGCCUGUCUGCCUGCCUGCCUCCCUGCCUGCCUCCCUGCCGGCCAAUUAAUGAUCUGUGUAGUCUGUUAUACUUGUGAAUAUUGUGUGUGUGUUUCUCUUCCUUUCACUUUUCAUCCUAAAAUCUGCUACUAUUAAUCUAAUCUAAUCUUUCAUUCUUCAUUCCUUCUCUUCCUUCCACUUUUCAUCCUAAAAUCUGCUACUAUUAAUCUAAUCUAAUCUUUCAUUCUUCAUUCUCUCUCUUCCUUCCACUUUUCAUCCUAAAAUCUGCUACUAUUAAUCUUGUCUAAUCUUUCAUUCUUCAUUCUCUCUUCCUUCCACUUUUCAUCCUAAAAUCUGCUAGUAUUAAUCUAAUCUAAUCUUUCAUUCUUCAUUCUCUCUCUUCCUUUCACUUUUCAUCCUAAAAUCUGCUACUGAUAAUCUAAUUUUAUCUUUCAUUCUUCAUUCCUUCUCUUCCUUCCAUUUUUCAUCCUAAAAUCUGCUACUAAUAAUCUAAUCUAAUCUUUCAUUCUUUCUCUUCCUUCCACUUUUCAUCCUAAAAUCUGCUACUAAUAAUCUAAUCUAAUCUUUCAUUCUUCAUUCCUUCUCUUCCUUUCACUUUUCAUCCUAAAAUCUGCUACUAUUAAUCUAAUCUAAUCUUUCAUUCUUUCUCUUCCCUCCACUUUUCAUCCUAAAAUCUGCUACUGAUAAUCUAAUUUAAUCUUUCAUUUUUCAUUCCUACUCUUCCUUUCACUUUUCAUCCUAAAAUCUGCUACUAAUAAUCUAAUCUAAUCUUUCAUUCUUUCUCUUCCUUCCACUUUUCAUCCUAAAAUCUGCUACUAUUAAUCUAAUCUAAUCUUUCAUUCUUCAUUCUCUCUCUUCCUUCCACUUUUCAUCCUCAAAUCUGCUACUAAUAAUCUGGUCUACUCUUUCAUUCUUCAUUCCUUCUCUUCCUUCCACUUUUCAUCCUAAAAUUGCUACUAUUAAUCUAAUCUAAUCUUUCAUUCUUCAUUCCUUCACUUUUUUCCACUUUUCAUCCUAAAAUCUGCUACUAUUAAUCUAAUUAAUCUUUCAUUCUUCAUUCCUUCUCUUCCUUCCACUUUUCAUCCUAAAAUCUGCUACUAUUAAUCUAAUCUAAUCUUUCAUUCUUCAUUCCUUCACUUUUUUCCACUUUUCAUCCUAAAAUCUGCUACUAUUAAUCUAAUUAAUCUUUCAUUCUUCAUUCCUUCUCUUCCUUCCACUUUUCAUCCUAAAAUUUGCUACUAUUAAUGUAAUCUAAUCUUUCAUUCUUCAUUCCUUCUUUUCCUUCCACUUUUGAUCCUAAAAUCUGCUACUGAUAAUCUAAUCUAAUCUUUCAUUCUUCAUUCCUUCUCUUCCUUCCACUUUUCAUCCUAAAAUCUGCUACUGAUAAUCUAAUCUAAUCUUUCAUUCUUCAUUCCUUCUCUUCCUUCCACUUUUCAUCCUAAAAUCUGCUACUGAUAAUCUAAUCUAAUCUUUCAUUCUUCAUUCCUUCUCUUCCUUUCACUUUUCAUCCUAAAAUCUGCUACUAAUAAUCUAAUCUAAUCUUUCAUUCUUCAUUCUCUCUCUUCCUUCCACUUUUCAUCCUAAAAUCUGCUACUAAUAAUCUAAUCUAAUCUUUCAUUCUUUUUUCCUUCUCUUCCUUCCACUUUUCAUCCUAAAACCUGCUACUGAUAAUCUAAUCUAAUCUUUCAUUCUUCUUUCCUUCUUACCAGGAUAUAUAGUCAGUCUGUACCAGGACAUGUAGUCAGAAAAAAAAAAAACAAUAAAAACAAAAAAACAGCAGAUGACUUAUAUUAAAUAUUUCUUUCAGAUUUAAGAAGUUUGACAUACAGACAGACAGACAGGUGUGGAAGAAGUGCUGGCAUACUGGAGGUCAAGAGUCACGUGAUGAGUCGUACAGGUCACCAGAGAGGUCAUCCACUCAACCCCACUGCCAGUCCAGAGGCAACACAGUCAUGAAGAUUUGCCUCUGUCUGUCUGUCUGUCUGUCUAUCUGCCUGCCUGCCUCCCUGCCGGCCAAUUAAUGAUCUGUGUAGUCUGUUAUACUUGUGAAUAUUGUGUGUGUGUUUCUCUUCCUUUCACUUUUCAUCCUAAAAUCUGCUACUAUUAAUCUAAUCUAAUCUUUCAUUCUUCAUUCCUUCUCUUGCCUCCACUUUUCAUCCUAAAAUCUGCUACUAUUAAUCUAAUCUAAUCUUUCACUCUUCAUUCUUUCUCUUCCUUCCACUUUUCAUCCUAAAAUCUGCUACUAUUAAUCUUGUCUAAUCUUUCAUUCUUCAUUCUCUCUUCCUUCCACUUUUCAUCCUAAAAUCUGCUACUGAUAAUCUAAUUUAAUCUUUCAUUUUUCAUUCCUUCUCUUCCUUUCACUUUUCAUCCUAAAAUCUGCUACUAAUAAUCUAAUCUAAUCUUUCAUUCUUUCUCUUCCUUCCACUUUUCAUCCUAAAAUCUGCUACUAAUAAUCUAAUCUAAUCUUUCAUUCUUCAUUCCUUCUCUUCCUUUCACUUUUCAUCCUAAAAUCUGCUACUAUUAAUCUAAUCUAAUCUUUCAUUCUUCAUUCUUUCUCUUCCCUCCACUUUUCAUCCUAAAAUCUGCUACUGAUAAUCUAAUUUAAUCUUUCAUUUUUCAUUCCUACUCUUCCUUUCACUUUUCAUCCUAAAAUAUGCUACUAAUAAUGUAAUCUAAUCUUUCAUUCUUUCUCUUCCUUCCACUUUUCAUCCUAAAAUCUGCUACUAUUAAUCUAAUCUAAUCUUUCAUUCUUCAUUCUCUCUCUUCCUUCCACUUUUCAUCCUCAAAUCUGCUACUAAUAAUCUGGUCUAAUCUUUCAUUCUUCAUUCCUUCUCUUCUUUCCACUUUUCAUCCUCAAAUCUGCUACUAAUAAUCUGGUCUACUCUUUCAUUCUUCAUUCCUUCUCUUCCUUCCACUUUUCAUCCUAAAAUCUGCUACUAAUAAUCUGGUUUAAUCUUUCAUUCUUCAUUCCUUCUCUUCCUUCCACUUUUCAUCCUAAAAUCUGCUACUAAUAAUCUGGUUUAAUCUUUCAUUCUUCAUUCCUUCUCUUCCUUCCACUUUUCAUCCUAAAAUCUGCUACUGAUAAUCUGGUUUAAUCUUUCAUUCUUCAUUCCUUCUCUUUCUUUCACUUUUUAUCCUAAAAUCUGCUACUGAUAAUCUAAUUUAAUCUUUCAUUCUUCAUUCCUUCUCUUUCUUUCACUUUUUAUCCUAAAAUCUGCUACUGAUAAUCUAAUCUAAUCUUUCAUUCUUCAUUCUCUCUCUUCCUUUCACUUUUCAUCCUAAAAUCUGCUACUAAUAAUCUAAUCUAAUCUUUCAUUCUUCAUUCCUUCUCUUCCUUCCACUUUUCAUCCUAAAAUCUGCUACUAUUAAUCUAAUCUAAUCUUUCAUUCUUCAUUCCUUCACUUUUUUCCACUUUUCAUCCUAAAAUCUGCUACUAUUAAUCUAAUUAAUCUUUCAUUCUUCAUUCCUUCUCUUCCUUCCACUUUUCAUCCUAAAAUUUGCAACUAUUAAUGUAAUCUAAUCUUUCAUUCUUCAUUCCUUCUUUUCCUUCCACUUUUGAUCCUAAAAUCUGCUACUGAUAAUCUAAUCUAAUCUUUCAUUCUUCAUUCCUUCACUUUUUUCCACUUUUCAUCCUAAAAUCUGCUACUAUUAAUCUAAUUAAUCUUUCAUUCUUCAUUCCUUCUCUUCCUUCCACUUUUCAUCCUAAAAUUUGCAACUAUUAAUGUAAUCUAAUCUUUCAUUCUUCAUUCCUUCUUUUCCUUCCACUUUUGAUCCUAAAAUCUGCUACUGAUAAUCUAAUCUAAUCUUUCAUUCUUCAUUCCUUCUCUUCCUUUCACUUUUUAUCCUAAAAUAUGCUACUGAUAAUCUAAUCUAAUCUUUCAUUCAUCAUUCCUUCUCUUCCUUCCACUUUUCAUCCUAAAAUCUGCUACUAAUAAUCUAAUCUAAUCUUUCAUUCUUCAUUCCUUCUCUUCCUUCCACUUUUCAUCCUAAAAUCUGCUACUAUUAAUCUAAUCUAAUCUUUCAUUCUUCAUUCCUUCACUUUUUUCCACUUUUCAUCCUAAAAUCUGCUACUAUUAAUCUAAUUAAUCUUUCAUUCUUCAUUCCUUCUCUUCCUUCCACUUUUCAUCCUAAAAUUUGCAACUAUUAAUGUAAUCUAAUCUUUCAUUCUUCAUUCCUUCUUUUCCUUCCACUUUUGAUCCUAAAAUCUGCUACUGAUAAUCUAAUCUAAUCUUUCAUUCUUCAUUCCUUCUCUUCCUUUCACUUUUUAUCCUAAAAUCUGCUACUGAUAAUCUAAUCUAAUCUUUCAUUCUUCAUUCCUUCUCUUCCUUUCACUUUUUAUCCUAAAAUCUGCUACUGAUAAUCUAAUCUAAUCUUUCAUUCUUCAUUCCUUCUCUUCCUUCCACUUUUCAUCCUAAAAUCUGCUACUGAUAAUCUAAUCUAAUCUUUCAUUCUUCAUUCCUUCUCUUCCUUCCACUUUUCAUCCUAAAAUCUGCUACUAUUAAUCUAAUCUAAUCUUUCAUUCUUCAUUCUCUCUUCCUUUCACUUUUCAUCCUAAAAUCUGCUACUGAUAAUCUAAUUUAAGCUUUCAUUCUUCAUUCUCUCUCUUCCUUUCACUUUUCAUCCUAAAAUCUGCUACUGAUAAUCUAAUCUAAUCUUUCAUUCUUCAUUCUCUCUCUUCCUUCCACUUUUCAUCCUAAAAUCUGCUGCUAAUAAUCUGGUCUAAUCUUUCAUUCUUUUUUCCUUCUCUUCCUUCCACUUUUCAUCCUAAAAUCUGCUACUAAUAAUCUAAUCUAAUCUUUCAUUCUUCAUUCCUUCUCUUCCUUUCACUUUUUAUCCUAAAAUCUGCUACUAAUAAUCUAAUCUAAUCUUUCAUUCUUCAUUCCUUCUCUUCCUUCCACUUUUCAUCCUAAAAUCUGCUACUAUUAAUCUAAUCUAAUCUUUCAUUCUUCAUUCCUUCACUUUUUUCCACUUUUCAUCCUAAAAUCUGCUACUAUUAAUCUAAUUAAUCUUUCAUUCUUCAUUCCUUCUCUUCCUUCCACUUUUCAUCCUAAAAUUUGCAACUAUUAAUGUAAUCUAAUCUUUCAUUCUUCAUUCCUUCUUUUCCUUCCACUUUUGAUCCUAAAAUCUGCUACUGAUAAUCUAAUCUAAUCUUUCAUUCUUCAUUCCUUCUCUUCCUUUCACUUUUUAUCCUAAAAUCUGCUACUGAUAAUCUAAUCUAAUCUUUCAUUCUUCAUUCCUUCUCUUCCUUUCACUUUUUAUCCUAAAAUCUGCUACUGAUAAUCUAAUCUAAUCUUUCAUUCUUCAUUCCUUCUCUUCCUUCCACUUUUCAUCCUAAAAUCUGCUACUGAUAAUCUAAUCUAAUCUUUCAUUCUUCAUUCCUUCUCUUCCUUCCACUUUUCAUCCUAAAAUCUGCUACUAUUAAUCUAAUCUAAUCUUUCAUUCUUCAUUCUCUCUUCCUUUCACUUUUCAUCCUAAAAUCUGCUACUGAUAAUCUAAUUUAAGCUUUCAUUCUUCAUUCUCUCUCUUCCUUUCACUUUUCAUCCUAAAAUCUGCUACUGAUAAUCUAAUCUAAUCUUUCAUUCUUCAUUCUCUCUCUUCCUUCCACUUUUCAUCCUAAAAUCUGCUGCUAAUAAUCUGGUCUAAUCUUUCAUUCUUUUUUCCUUCUCUUCCUUCCACUUUUCAUCCUAAAAUCUGCUACUAAUAAUCUAAUCUAAUCUUUCAUUCUUCAUUCCUUCUCUUCCUUUCACUUUUUAUCCUAAAAUCUGCUACUGAUAAUCUAAUCUAAUCUUUCAUUCUAGUCAGUCUGUACCAGGACAUGUAGUCAGAAAAAAAUAAAUAAAAACAAAAAACAUAGCAGAUGACUUUGCAUUAAAUAUUUCUUUCAGAUUUAAGAAGUAUGACAUACAGACAGACAGACAGGUGUGGAAGAAGUGCUGGCAUACUGGAGGUCAAGAGUCACGUGAUGAGUCGUACAGGUCACCAGAGAGGUCAUCCACUCAACCCCACUGCCAGUCCAGAGGCAACACUGUCAUGAAGAUUUGCCUCUGUCUGUGUCUGUCUGCCUGCCUGCCUGCCUGCCUGCCUGCCUGCCUGCCUGCCUGCCUCCCUGCCGGCCAAUUAAUGAUCUGUGUAGUCUGUUAUACUUGUGAAUAUUGUGUGUGUGUGUGUGUGUGUGUGUGUUGUUACAGCAAUAUUGUUCUGCAUAUUAUUGAUUGUACUGCACAUGUAUGGGCCGGCCAGACUUGAUGUACUGUGACAGCCAAAAUUUUGAUAUAUACUGCUUGAUAAGUGAAAAGAAAUAAAAUAGAUAAGUAAAAAUUUUGAGCCAAACUAAUGGUCUUUCUCUGGUCUUUUUCAGAGGUGCGUACGUCUGCAAGUCAGCCCAACAAACGUCUUGUGUCUUGCCUUAUUCUGAUAAUAGGUUCAGUUAGGUUAUUUAGAGUGUGGGGGUCUCUUUUCCUUACUAACAAAAUUAACAUAACCUGUCCCUUCAUUCUCGUCAAGCUGUCCGUGGGAGAUGCCCCGAGACUCUCAGGUGUUUCUCAAGCAUCCACUGCCAGUGUGGUCACCUUGAGUAGUCAGACGGGGCUCACUCAACUGUUGCAGUGUUCGUGUUGCAGUGUUGCAGACUUUCACCCAAACAAGGGGAGUAUUGCGUAUUUAUUGCAUUGAUUUUGUAUAUAUAUUGCUUGAUGGGAGGUGGAUGGUUGGCGGGUGGGUGGGGGGAUCUGAGGGUACCUAUGUAGGGUGUGUGUGUGUGUGUGUGUGUGUCUGUCUGUCUGUCUGUCCGUUUUUUUUUUUUUUUGUUUGUGUGUGUGUGUAUUUUUUUUUUAUAUAUGUGUGUGUGUGUGUGUGUGUGUCUGUCUGUGUUUUUUUGUUGUUUGUGUGUGCGUGUGUGUGUGUGUGAGUGUAUUUUAUAUGUGUGUGUGUGUGUGUGUAGGUAUUAGGCCAGAAUCUUAGAAUAUUUGACUUAGGUUAAUAGAAGAGUGGUAGGUUAAUAGAAGAGUGGUAAGUUGAUGUUAUUUAUGAAAGGGUUAAGUAAGGCAUAGAGAGAGACAGAGAGCUACUGAUAGGAAUAGGAUGACAGGGAGUGUGAAUGGUUAGCUCAGAUUAUAUGGAGUGCUUCAUUCCAUAUAAUCAGAGCUUGUGUGGCAUGCUGCACUGUUGCAUACAAGUAUCUUCUUAUUUCUGUAGUGGUGGUGGUGCUGGUGGUAGUGGUAGUGGUGGUGGUGGUGGUGGCACGUUAUGAAUGAUAUUUUUUUGUUUUUUUUUUUGGUUCGGGGGUAUAUAGUGUUUAUAGAUAUAUAUAUAUAUUUUUUUUUUACCCAGAUCUUUUGGUAAGAGGUCUGGGUUUAUGUAUGGAUGUAUGUACGUGUCUGGCCAGUAUUUGGUAAGAUGCUGGCUGGAUUGUGUGUCCAUGCGUGUGUGUGUGCGUGUGUGUGUAUGUAUGUAUGUACGUGUCUGGCCAGUAUUUGGUAAGAUGCUGGCUGGAUUGUGUGUCCAUGCGUGUGUGUGUGUGUGUGUGCGUGUGUGUGUAUGUAUGUAUGUAUGUAUGUAUGUACGUGUCUGGCCAGUAUUUUGGUAAGAUACUGGCUGGAUUGUGUGUGUGUGUGUGUGUGUGUGUGUGUGCGCAAUUUUCUUUUAGGUUAACUAAUUAGUUAAAUAAAUAAAUAAAUGAGAAAAUAAAUAAAUAAAUAAAUGAGAAAAUAGGUAAAAGUAAUAAUAAGAAAAUUUGAAAGUAAAUAAAUAUAUAAAUAAAAAUAUAGGAAUAUUUAUGAGGUGGGGGAGCAGAAGGGGGGGUGGGUAAGCAAGAUUAGGUGUGCUGGUAGAAGUAGGGGGUGAAGGGGCGGGUGAGGAAGCUGUAUGGAUGACCACAAUAGGGGGGGGGGUUGGGGCAGGGGUAGGAUGUGGGUGAUAUAUAAUUUGCUAAUAUUUGAACCCUUUACAUACCGACAUGCAUACUGACACAUUUCUCUCAGACAGAUAAGCCUGGCUGGUGAGGGAGAGAGGGAGUGGGGGUCUGUUUCAUUAUAAUGUGGAUGAGGGGACAAGAGAGCCAGUGUUCCAAGUACCACCACCAUCACCACUGCCACCACCACCACCACCAUCAGGAGCACAGAUUCACUGAAGUCUCUACCAAGAUUUCUUUGAGUUUUUUGAUAAAUUUAACUUCCAGGAGAGAGAGAGACAGAGAUGAUUGUUACUGGCAGUGUGUGAAGCCUGCCCACUGUCUUUGUAUAUACAGAAGGUGGAAUUUGAGUCGGCCAAGCCUCAGAAAUGCAGGAAGGAUUAGCGGUGAUGACUGCAGGCUGCCAUCGACCCGCAGGUGUGAUGGUGCCCGACCAGCUGGUACACAUCAGUGAGAUGGUGGUGGUGCUGGAAAACAGCUGGUUUGCCAAGGGCAGCGCCAGGCAGGCCGCCCGCACACACAGUCACCAGAAGGAUCACAGCACAUCUCCCGUCAGGUCUUGGGAGCACCGGGUGUUGUUCGGCAGGAAGGAGGCCAGGUUGUUAGGGCACGGCCUCACCCCACUGUCGCACACACCCACAGGCAUGAGGGGUGCCAGCCAGCAGGCCACGUCCCCAACACAGCUCCCACCUGCAUCCUGACCUCAUUCAGCAUCAACACCAGCCACACAGAAAAGUGAUGCUCCUGCAACAGCUGACGUUUACCUUUGCCAGUCACCUCGUCCAUGCUGAACUGCUCCACCAGCACCUUUGAAGCAGCUGUCCUACAUCCUCCUGGAAGCAACAGCAUACAGUCAUCACAGGAAUCAAAUGCAGCAUCAGUAUGGCUCACCAAACACUUCCCCUCACACUGGUGGUGUUGACCUGCCUUGUGAACACCUGAUCUCCUGUGCUCCUGUCCUUCACAGCUCUCCAGGUGACAUCAGCUGAGUGCAGCUGUCGGUGACUGCAGGAAUGGACCUCAGAUGGUGGAUACAGCAUUACCAAGUCAAGAAGGAGACACUGUGAUGUGGCUGCAGGUGGAUAGAUACCAGGAUAUGUGACCACCACCACCACCACCACCACCAUUGGAGAUGCCCCUCUGUAGUUGCACAUUACGGCCCUGUUGUGUACCCUGGUGGCCUUCAUAGUUGACCGCUGAGUGCAGCUGUCGGUGACUGCAGGAAUGGACCUCAGAUGGUGGACACAGCAUUACCAAGUCAAGAAGUUGUCCAGUAUUUUAUCUCUGCUCUCAAACAAGCAAUGACCAGUGGUGGUGUUGUUCAUGUCUGGCUUGUGUGUGUGUGUGUGUGUGUGUGUGUGUGUGUGUGUGUGUGUGUGAGUUUGUUCACCCAUUAUGAUUUGAAGAGAUUGUGUUUGUAUUUUUAUUGUGGUACUCCGUGAUUAUACUUUGAAAUUA